AUGCCCAGCCACAAAUUCGCCUGUCUCGAGGGUGUUCUUCACGCCCGAAUCAGCGAUGUUCGCCAUGCGGUCACCAUCGAGUCGAUUCGCCAGUUGUUUCGUCGCUCCGGUGAUGGAUAUGUGGUCUGCGCGUACGAGCGGGUGGUGGACGGGUUGUACGGCGUGGAGGCCUACAUCGAGUUCCGGUCCCGAUGGAGGGCGGCCCGAGCUCGAGAUGCCCUGGAUGGCCAUGCUAUCUAUGAUGGCUGUUGCAUCCCAGCCAUCGACCUCGUCCCGCCGGUCUACACCACCAUCACCAUGCCUGAUGACGACGGGAUGACACCCUCGUACUUCUACGAUGACACUCCCUACGUGGAGUGGGAUGCAGCGUUGGUCGCGGUCGAGCGCCAUGAUGAGGCGCCCGCUACAUCCACCGACAACCUUCAAGUCGAGGCGUCCAUGAGCACCGUCGGCACGACUCCGUCCGGGCUCGCCGCGCCUACGGCACCAACUCUGUCUACGACCGCUGACAACGCCGUCGUGGAGCUCAAUGAGAGUGACCAGGGGCUCAAAGUGGACGACACCAGCAACGCCGCUUCGACGCCCACCACCUGUUCGACGGGGUGUCCAAGCUGCGCCACGGCCGAGGAGUCGGUGCUCACCUUGUCUGCGGAAACACCAUCAUCCAUGACCACCAUCUGCGUCGUUCCUGAGCUCGCUACACCAGUGGACAAUGAUGACUCCAUUGAUGUUGUCAACACUUAUGUCGCUGCCCUGGCUGUGUUCCCUAUCAAUGGCAGCGUCAGCAUCACCAACAAGCAAGCAGAAGAAACGGAGGGCUGGAGCAGUGAGCACUGGGCACUGGAGUCUGAAUUGGACGUGAGUCAAAUACCAGUUUCAGAGAUUAGAACGAGUGGAGCACUAAACAUCAGAAUGGAUAUUGCGUGCCAGAAAUAUUUUCUUGAUGGGAGGAUUGCUAUCUUGUCCAUGAUCAAAUAUAUGUGGGUGGAGGGUGACAACUGUACAUGUCUGUUUAGUCCAGAGCAGUUCUAUACCAGCCUUCAUGGAGUUAUGUCGUUCGUAUGGGACUUGGGUGACUCCACCGUGGUUACAGCCUGUGAUUUUGCUCCUUAUAGGCCUGCCAGACGUAUUCGGGCCAAACUUGUUAUGCUGGAAGUGGUGCAGUUGACUUGGGAUCCAGGCGACUCUGAAAUUGUGCUUGACUCUACCUUGAUCUCGAAGAAUCUUGCUGUCAUGCCUGCUACUGGUCAUGGUGCCAAAGAUGAUACUGUGAAGGGCGGCAUGCCAGUGAUAUGGGAUCCUGGAGGGCUCCCACAUUGUCGUCUUGAGGACAAGCCGAAAUUUAAGGGGGAGGGAUUGUCAGCGACUCUUCCUAAUCUAUGGACGACGGGCCGUCACUCUUGGGCCGGGCCUGCUUGGAAGGACAUGGGACAACAAGUACAAAUAUGUGGACAAGGCAUCGUGGAGAGGGGCUUGGACGGAAGGCUUCGGCCUGGCUGGCGAUCUCCCUCUUUGUAG
rnacentral:rRNA from 1 species